rnacentral:rRNA from 3 species
UGCAGAAUCCCGUGAACCAUCGAGUCUUUGAACGCAAGUUGCGCCCUAAGCCAUUAGGCCGAGGGCACGUCUGCCUGGGUGUCACGC